UACGUAGGGUGCGAGCGUUGUCCGGAAUUAUUGGGCGUAAAGAGCUCGUAGGCGGUGUGUCGCGUCGGCCGUGAAAACCUGGGGCUCAACUCUGGGCGUGCGGUCGAUACGGGCAUCACUUGAGUUCGGGCAGGGGAGACUGGAAUUCCUGGUGUAGCGGUGAAAUGCGCAGAUAUCAGGAGGAACACCGGUGGCGAAGGCGGGUCUCUGGGCCGAUACUGACGCUGGAGGAG
rnacentral:rRNA from 1 species